rnacentral:rRNA from 1 species
CCUACGGGAGGCAGCAGUGGGGAAUAUUGGACAAUGGGGGAAACCCUGAUCCAGCGACGCCGCGUGAGUGAAGAAGUAUUUCGGUACGUAAAGCUCUAUCAGCAGGAAAGAAAAUGACGGUACCUGACUAAGAAGCCACGGCUAACUACGUGCCAGCAGCCGCGGUAAUACGUAGGGGGCAAGCGUUAUCCGGAUUUACUGGGUGUAAAGGGAGCGUAGACGGCAGCGCAAGUCUGGAGUGAAAUGCCGGGGCGCAACCCCGGAACUGCUCUGGAAACUGUAAAGCUGGAGUGCAGGAGAGGUAAGCAGAAUUCCUGGUGUAGCGGUGAAAUGCGUAGAUAUCAGGAGGAACACCGGCGGCGAAGGCGGCUUACUGGACUGUAACUGACGUUGAGGCUCGAAAGCGUGGGGAGCAAACAGGAUUAGAUACCCCUGUAGUC